AGAACGAACGCUGGCGGCAGGCUUAACACAUGCAAGUCGAACGCUCGGGAGCAAUUCCGGGAGUGGCAGACGGGUGAGUAACACGUGGGAACAUACCCUUCGGUACGGAACAACUUGGGGAAACUCGAGCUAAUACCGUAUACGACCUUUGGUGAAAGAUUGAUCGCCGGAGGAUUGGCCCGCGUCCGAUUAGCUAGUUGGUGAGGUAACGGCUCACCAAGGCGACGAUCGGUAGCUGGU
rnacentral:rRNA from 1 species